rnacentral:tRNA from 1 species
GGGCGUAUAGCUCAGAUGGUUAGAGCGCUGCCCUCACAUGGCAGAGGUCUCUGGUUCGAUUCCAGAUACGCCCA